rnacentral:rRNA from 1 species
UACGAAGGGGGCUAGCGUUGCUCGGAAUCACUGGGCGUAAAGGGUGCGUAGGCGGGUCUUUAAGUCAGGGGUGAAAUCCUGGAGCUCAACUCCAGAACUGCCUUUGAUACUGAAGAUCUUGAGUUCGGGAGAGGUGAGUGGAACUGCGAGUGUAGAGGUGAAAUUCGUAGAUAUCCGGAGGAACACCAGUGGCGAAGGCGGCACUCUGGGUCGGCCCUGACGCUGAGGCGCGAAAGCGUGGGGAGCGAACGGG